rnacentral:rRNA from 1 species
AACGAACGCUGGCGGCAUGCCUAACACAUGCAAGUCGAACGAGACCGUCGGGUCUAGUGGCGCACGGGUGCGUAACGCGUGGGAACCUGCCCUUAGGUUCGGAAUAACUCCCCGAAAGGGGUGCUCAUACCGGUGAAUGUCUUCGGACCUAAGAUUUAUCGCCUUUGGAUGGGCCCGCGUUGGCUUAGCUAGGUGGUAGUGUAAAAGCCUACCAAGGCGACGAUCCAUGGCUGGUCUGAGAGGAUGCUAAGUCAGACUGGGACUGCGACACGGCCCAGACCCCGACGGAAGGCAGGAGUAGAGUAUACUGGAGGAGGAGCCAAAGUGUGACACAGCAGUGUCGCGUAAGAGAUGAAGGGCUUAGGAUUGUACUUCUCUCUUAGCCGGAGUGAUAGUGACGGUACCGGGAGAAUAAGCACCGGCUAACUCCGUG